ACUGAUUUUACAGUAGGCAUGCAAUAUUAGUCUUUUUUGUUUCCAUAACAAGUUAACUAAUAACUUCUAACAGAGAACAGAUUUGGGUAAGUAAUCCAGACACCAGCAGUAGUCAUUUCACCGAAAUAUUAGUCCUUGAACACAAUAUUACAUAAUAAGGAAACAAUUAAAGCAAGUGUUUUUGCAGAAAUGCAUUGCCUGAAAUCAACAACAACAGCAGCACGGGGAGCCGGGAUUGAGCCGUAUGCUGCAGUAGCAGUAGCAGGUAUCAAUGUGCUGGUGUCAUACAAUGAAUUAGACGGAACCCCUCUUAAUAUCUCAUCUUUCUCCACUGCAAGACCCUGUUAUUGCCUUAGAACCAAUGUCCAAAAGUGAUCCAAUGGAAUUUUCUCCAUUAAUUUUUUUAAUUUUAAAAUAAAAACCAAUAACCUUGGCAACCAGUUCAGUGAGCCUGUUUUGGGGAGCUUCAGCAUUUAAAGGCGUCAUUGUGGCUGAAGCAACAGCAUUUGCAGCCUACAAAAAAUUAUCAAUUUUUUUUUUCAGUGUGCGCGUGUGUGUGUAUACUAAAGAUUUUGAUAAAACGAGAAAAGGGGGUUGCCUGAGAGAGAUUGUGGUCGCGAAGAUGAGCCACAAUCAGGGAAUUGACUUGACGAAACAGCUUCCCGUCCCGCAAUGUCUUCUCUAAGAUGCUGCUGCUGUUGUUAUUGUUGCUAUCCAUUUUUGGUUUGCUUAAACCCUAUAAACAAAAAAUAAUAAUUCUGAAUUUUGCUUCACUUCUAUUGCCUUAAACCCUAACUUUUCACUUCAGCGACUUGGGCCAUCCAGAUUUUCCAUUUCUUCAUCUAAUUUAGACUAGUCACGUAAAUUUCUGCCAGUACUUCAUUAAAUUUUAAUGCUUGAAAUCUUUUGUUCUCUCCUUCGGUUUACAAGAAAUUUGCAGGAAUUAGUCCCGGCCAUACCUAUUUUAAAAAAAAUAGGGUAUUUAGCUAAAUACAUGUAUUGUUUAUAGUUAUGUAAUUGGAUUUUAUAAGCAAUUAUUCAUUUACUACCUGUUUAUUCAAAUAUUUUUUUUUUUAAAUUACAUGAGGCUGAUGCUCAUAUUACAAUUCAUAUUAUAUGAUAUUUGUAAUUGAUAUUUACAAUCAGACAAUUAUUGGACCUAAUUUACAUUAAUUCUUAUAUAGCACUGCCCAGAUUUUACCCACUCUAAUAUUCGAGGGGUGUCUACUCAACUCACAUUUCGAAAGGGAGAAGAAUGUCUUCACUUAAUAAUUAAGGAAUGAAAUAAACCCUUACAUGCAUCACGGAGGCUCGAACCACUGCGCUCACAUUUAUGAGUGCAGGUCCUAACCACUGGGCCAAGACCCAAUUGGUUGUUUAUUCAAAUAUUUUUAAAAAUGCACAAACAAGUGUGCCGCUUGAAAUUAAUAUUUUAUUACACUCAUCUACUUUCAUCUUAUAUUAAUUAACAAAUUUAAUAGAAUAUUAAUUAAAUGACCUUUUUAUUUUAUGUGUAAAAUUGUUAUUUUACCUAAAAUAAUGUUGGUGGUAUGUAUGUAUUGGAAAUGACAAAUGUAGAGAAUUACAGUAAUAAUGGUAAAAUUUUAUUGUCUUAAAAUAAUGUGUUUACAACUCUAUAUGUAGGAAUAAAAUAAUAUUAAUAAUUGAACUGUAAAAAAAUAAUAUGUAUUUCAAAGCAUGUUAUAAAUAUCAUUUUUCUUAAGAUGUUAUUUGCCCUUAUAAAUUGAGUGAUGCACAUGGAUUAAGCAAAUACAUUUUCAGGAUACAAUGAAUCACUUAUUUAUUUGUUUGCGUUGUGCAUCGACGAAAGUAAAUCAUAAUACUCUUAAAUGUUGUAAGUCUGUCAAGAAUCAAUAUAUUAUUCCUACAUAAAACAAUAUAUUGGAUAUUUAAGGCACAAAAAAUAUAUGAUUUAUGAUUAAAUUCAUUUUAAAAAAAGAGGACUGAGAAAAAAGUGGUGUGAGAUUAUUAUUUUCAUAUCUAAAUAUCCUAAACAUGUCCCCUAUAUAUAGAUAAACUUGUGCCCCUCUAUUUUGGUUGUCACCUUUUAUGAUAUAUCUAUUCAUUCAUGACCAUUGGAUCAAGAUUUGAUAUUAAUCAAUGGUUCAAAUUGAAUCAUUACCAUUUCAAAUGAAAUGCUACCAUGAAUUGAUGUAUCUUUGAGUAAAAAUAUAUCUCUUCUAUAAGGCGUAAUUAAUUAGAUAUGUCUUUAAAUUCAAAUACCAUUUAUUUUGAAAAAUGUUCCAACAAAUAAAUGCCCGAAAAAUAGCAAUUGCAAUUUCUAAUGGGGUGGUAGUUCUUUAAUUAAAUAUAUUAGAACCUUAGAAAGCUCGGCAUAAAUAAAGGUAAUUUAUACCGACUUUAACCAUUAUUUAUUUCUUUAUUUCAAAAAGUCACAAAAAAUAAGGAAAAGCAUUAUAGGGGGAAAAAAAGGGUAAUUUUCGGAUACCUCCCCUGAGGUUUACCCCUGCUACACUUAGAGAGAAAGUAUGAAUAUAUUGACAUAUAGCACCCCUGACAUAUAUAAGCGUUAGGGAGCCGUUUGGUUUGAAAGGGUGAUAACGUAAUUGUAAAAUUUUACAAUUUUUAAAUGGUUAAGAAAUAGUAAAUUGAUUAAACUAAACACUUGCAUCCUGCACAAUGGCUGCUAAACGAAACAGAAUGCACAGUGACAAAGCAUGGAACACAAUGAAAACCAAGGGGAUGGCGACCCAUCUCUACUUCUUCUCAUGGGUUGAGGCGACCCAUCUCUACUUCUUCUCAUGGGUUGACUUUCAUUCCCAUAUAAUACCCACUGGUUUCAACUUAUAUGAACUUAAAAGAUACAGUGAGAAAAAUUCUCUGAGAUUAAGCAUGUCAAAAACUAAAUUCCGGCCACAACCGGCAUCUGAGCAGUCAAUCAAUGGAGAACGCACCAGGUGUGUAUUUCCAUAAAAUCUUUAAGCUUAAUUUUGGUUUAAUUUAUUCUGGGAUUCUGUUCAAUAGGCUGCUAGUUUAGUUGACUAGUGAGCUUUUCUCCAUGUGUCGUCGUCAUCUCUUCUUCCUCUAGCUCUAUUUUUAGCGGCUAAGCCUCGAUCUCUACUGACCUCUUCGUCUCCACUGGAAAUGCUCAGCAUCUCCACCUCGGACUCUUCUUCCUCCUCGUACUUCUUCCCCUGCGAUCUCCCACCCUUCUGUGUCGCCGCCGAUUUCGGUUGCUGAACGUAAUUUGCCACGGGUUUCCUCGGCUGCGAAGUGUCGUAGACAACUCGGCGCUGCGCUUGCUCCUUCAACGCCAUCUGAAGUAGCUCGUCCUCGUCGCUGUCGCUGGACAUUUUGAAUUUCAAUCGAUUUUUGGUUUCGAUCUGAUGACUUUUUUCGUUUUUAUGAUUAAUUGUUUGUUUAUUAUGUAAUUGUGAUUUUGUUUGCCCUGCAUGUGUUGUUAUGUUCAGUUCUUAUUUGGAUGGUGAAUGUGCUAAUGUAGAAGAUCUCGUAAUUGUUUAGAACUUGUAUAAGAGGUUUAUGCUUUGUCAUGAGAGAAUGUAAAAUUAAAAAUGGCAAGGCCUGGGCUGAAACUCAGAGAUAUUAUUCCAUCAUUUCUUUCGGCAAGCAUAGAGUAGAUAUUUUGGGUACAAUGUUGGGAGGUUUUCUUUCUGGUUAAUGCUUGUUCUUUCAAACUGUAAGAAAUAAUGAUAAUUAGAAUUAGUUUUUAUGAGUACACAAUCAGAAUAUGUGGUUCAUAUGGCUAGUACAAAGAGCUUCACAAGGCUAGAAUGUAAUACUUGCGACUACCCAAGGUCUGUGGUUCAUAUGCCAGUUUCAGGAACUUGCUGCAAUUGGCAAAAUUGAAAGGAUUGCUUAUUGCAUUUUUUAUAUUCUUGUUUGAUUUUAGGAAUUUAACACUGUAUCAUAAGCAAAGUUACUGAGAUUUACACAUUUGUAUAUGGCCAAUAUGCCCAAAUACUAAUAAUAAUAGCAUUAAUUCACUCAUCAGUUAUGUAAUAUCAAAGCUUAGCAUUUUGUGAACUACUAUUAUCCAUAUAUUUUUGUAAAGGCUAGUUAUUUUUGUCAUUGUUUAUGCAGCUUGCUAUACUUUGACAUUGAGGCAGUGAUAGAUGGUGAAUUUUUUUCUGUUGGUUUAGCUAUUCCAGAGCAGUAUAGCUUGCACAAACUAUGGGUUGAUAUUAGGGAUGCUUGUUGGGGUCAUCCUAUUAGGAAUGCAAAUGGGAUAAAGGUUCAAGUAAUAUUUCCUUGGCAGACUGAGCAGCAAGCAAUUUUGACUGACAAAGACUUGUUAGAGGCAUUUGAACAACUUAGAGUAAAGGGGUACAAUUGGGCUAGGUUUGCAGUGACUCCUAAGAAAGUGCUUCCAGAUAUAAAUAGGGUUGAAAGUUCAGUAGAUAAGUGCACUCAGCAAUUGAAUAAUGAUGUGGAAAGUGGAAAUGAAGAGUUGUAUAAUUGUUAUGACGCAUCUGUAGAUGAAUUUGAAGAUGAUUAUGAGACUGAUCCACAUGAUUCUGAUCUGGUUGGUUCUAAUCCAGAUGAUUAUGAAGAGGAUUAUGAGACUGAUCCACCUGGUAAUGAUCUUGAUGACUAUGAAUCUGGGGAUGACAGUGGAGGUGAGUCAGAUGAAGAUGUUGUCCAAGAACAAAAUUGCAUUAAAUAUGAAAAAAAUGCAGGUGGCUUUCAAUUUAAUUCUGUUGGUGAUGAGAUAUUGUUAAAGCUUGGACAGCUAUUUGUCAAUGUGUGGGAGCUCAGAAAAGUGUUGAAGGUAUUUGCAAUUAGAAAUGGAUUCAGACUGAAAAGGUUGAAGAAUGAAAAAACAAGGGUGACAUGUGUGUGUGCUGCACCAAAUUGCACUUGGAGAAUCCACGCAAGCCCUAAUUGGAACAGGAGAUCAUUUUAGAUUAAAACUUACUGCCCUGAGCACACUUGUCCUAGAGUUGAUGACAAUUAUGAGGCAACUUCAGAUUGGAUAGCAGCCACUUAUCUACAUCUGUUCAAGGCCAAUCCUGAAAUCAAGAUUUCUGUUAUUGCUGCUGCUUUGAUGCAGAGAUAUGGAAUUGAAUGCAAUAAUCAGAGGUUGUACAUGGCCAAAAGGAAAGCACUUGAGUUACUUGGUGAAGACCAUAAGACUAGUUAUAGUAAAUUAUUUAGGUACAUGCAUGCUUUGUUAAAUUCCAAUCAUGGUUCCACUGUCUCUAUUGAAAGGGAUUGGAUUGGUGGUGCUGAAUUUCCCAAAUUCAAGAGGUUUUUCUUCUGUAUUGACAGUAGUAGAAGGGGAUUUUUUGAAGGGUGCAGGCCAUUCAUUGGGGUUGAUGGCUGUCAUUUAAAAGGACCGUAUAAAGGUGUACUUCUAACCGCUGUCAGCAUUGAUGCAAACUAUGGAAUUUAUCCUUUGGCUAUGUGUGUAGUUGACACCGAGAAUAAUGAGCCUUGGCUGUAUUUUUUGGAAAAAUUAUAUGAUCAAGUCGGCUGUAAUGGUGGUGAAGGUUUAUGCUUCAUGAGUGAUAGGCAAAAAGGUAUCCUCAAUGCAUUAGAAAGAGUAUUUCCUCUGUCGUUCAAGAGGUAUUGAUGUAGACAUAUCUAUGCAAACUUCAAGAACAAGUUUCCUGGGUUGUUAUUGAAAAAAGUUUUCUGGAGGGCCUGUAGGAGUUCUAGUGCUGCUGACUUUCAUUCCCAUAUGGAAGAAUUGAAGAAUAUAACUCCCGAUGGUUAUGAAUGGCUAAUGAAAAUUCCCAUUGCAUGUUGGGCAAAGCAUUUGUUCUCCCCACACACAAAAUGCAGUCAUGUCAUUAAUAACAUGACUGAAUCUUUUAAUAAUUGGAUUAACAACUACAGAAGUUUACCAAUUGUGAGGAUGUUUGAGAAAAUUAUGCGCUUAAUUCACAAAAGGCAUGAGGCAGCCCUUGGAUGGAAUGAUGAGUUACCACCAGUUGUGAGAAGAAAGAUAGUUGAGGGAAGACUAGCAACAAGAUCAUUAUCUAUUAUUUUUGGGCAUAAUGAAACUUUCGAGGUAGUUGAAGAUGUGACAAAGAUUAUUAUUGUUGAUUUGCCGAAAAAGAAUUGUGACUGUGGUGAAUGGGGAAUAUCUGGACUUCCUUGCAAACACGCCAUUUGUUGCAUAGAUGCAAAAAGAUACCCUGUAGAAGACUUUAUACAUCCAUAUUUGAAAAAAACAACUUUUAUUGGGACAUACAAACAUCAGUUUACACCAGUUCCAGAUGAAAAAAAGUGGCCACUUGAACUUCACGACAAUUUGCAGCCACCUACAGCCAUAAGAUCAGCUGGCAGACCUCAAACUAAAAGGAAGAAAGAAGCAGAUGAAUCUUCAACAUUUAAACGAAGUUCAAGUUUGAGGUGCUCUCAUUGUGACCAGUGGGGACAUAACAAGAGGACUUGCUCAAGGGCAACUCGUGAUAAUAAGAAGAAAAGGGCUAAGAAAAGGGUUAAGGGCAAGGUAAAACAAAUGUAUUGGAAUUAUUCUUAAUGAAAACUGCUGCAAACACAUGAUUUAUGAACUAAUCACUAAUUUUCAUUUUCUAGGCACCAAUUAGUAAGACUAACUCACAGGAUUUAGGGAAUCCAUCUAGCCAAACGCAGUCAUCUGCCCAUGAUAAUGGUAAUAAUGAUUUUGGAAACAUUUCAAGUUACUUAAUAUUCUUAAUUUUGUGGUUUUUAUACUGAAUAUGCAAUAUGCUUGCAGGGCAUUUGACUCAAGAAUGAUUACUAAAGUUAAAGCAUCCAGCAGAUUUAAGAACAUAGAGCUAAAAGUAUGUGACAAGACAGAGCACAUAUAUGACCCUAUACUCUAUUUUUUUGAGGGGAUUAGAUGAUGCAACACCUUUGAAGUUUCCAGAGCAUCAAUAGAUGGUGUAUCAUCUGUUACUCACCUAACAUAUAGGUUUGAGUUCUUUUGAUUUAUAUUUUGCUGAAACGUAAAGACUAUGAUUGUCUUGGCUUUGUUACAUGAAACUAUGAUGAGAGAUAUAACUAUAUAUAUUUAUAUGCUGUGCUUCUGUCAUUUGUAAAGGCUCGGUGUGUUGUAGCCAAAUAAUGAAUGUUCAAACUAAGUUUCUGCUGGAAUGCCAAUUAUCCAUAUGGCCAUGCUUUGUGGUUUCAUAUUAUAUCUUAUGCUUUGAUUUAAAUUUAUUGCGGUUGCUUGUUGUUUUAAUGUUCUGAUGAUAUUGAGAUGGAGUUAAGUGAGCUUGGAGUUGAAAAAACUUCAAUGAGAUAAUGAGCAACUGAUUAAAGCUUGUACUGUUCUAAAUGUCUCAUGUCAUGUUGUUUCCUGGAAAGCUGUAAAAUAUCUCUCCCUUCCAAUUUCUUUUUAGUGGCUGGUAGCGGCUGUCAAUGUUGCAUAAUGCCUACUUUGCAGCUAAAAUUACACCCACUAUUAAAACUAUAAUAGCACAAAUGAAAAAGAACAUGCUCAGGAAACAUAUUUUCAUACCAUUGCAUUUCCCCAUUGUUUUAUGUGUUUUUUGCAUCAGCAACUUCAAAUCUGUCAACUCUUUUUGCAUGUUCAGCAGCAACUUAUAAUUUGCUUGACAUGUUCCUACACCUUCAAAUAUUUCACCUUUGUUGAAAUCAUUAGGGGAUGCCAUUCAGAACUUGAAGUAGCCGCAGCCAUGUCUGCUGUCCAUACAACAAUAAUAUAGCUUGUUUGGGUUGUCAUCUGAUUCCGAAAUCUUCACACUUGCUCUUCUGUUGCACUUACAUAUCUUAUUUGCAAAUUGAAUGAGGUUGCCAUUAAUCUCAUCCCUCCAUCCUCUGCAUUCACGGCUGCUGGAUCUUGUUGUUUGUUGUGAGCUUGCUGAAUCCAUAACAAGCAUUAGAUAGUGGUGAAUCUUGGCAAAAAAUGACUGUUAUUUGCUCUUAAAUACAGCUCAAGAAGGCUGAUAUUACCGUUGGGUUGUUCUAACGGUAAUAUUAGCCUUGCUUUGUUGCUUUUAAAUUGAGCUGUUGCUUUGUUGCUUUUAAAUCAGCCUUGCUUUGUUGCUUUUAAAUUCAACUGUAAAUACAUUUUUUUUAAGGGGAUCUUAGCAUUUCCAGCAAUCACAUGAAUUUUGUCUCAUUAUGUCAUUUGUUUAUUGUCAAAUUAAGUUAUUAUAAGAGUAUAAUAUCAGCCUUAUCUUUGUUCUUAUGCACUUGGCGCCAAGAAGCAAGGGAUGAUUUGACAACUCUGUAAGGUAAGACCAAUUGCCAGUUCUUGCACUGUAGAAUGAAGGGCAUUAUUGUAUUUUUAUUGUCAAACCAAACGGCUCCCUAACGUUUAUAUACGUUCAGGGGUGCUAUAUGUCAAUAUAUUCAUACUUUCUCUCUAAGUGUAGCAGGGGUAAACCUCAGGGGAGGUAUCCGAAAAUUACCCGGAAAAAAAAAUAAAAAGGCAACAGCGAAACUAUUUGUAAGCCUUAGAAGAGCGGGGGCCACCUCCAAAAUAUUUUGAAAAUUGAAAAAAAAAAUUUUGGAGUUAAGUGAAUAGGAAAUAAUGCACGUUGCGAAAUUAUCAUUGUUGGCCCCACAACAAUCUGAGACGCACGUACGCACGUAUGACAAUUUACUUCAUUAGAUAACAAAAAGGCUCGCGAGAUCGCAAAAUUCUGAUUGUUUUUUUUUUUUCAAUUUCCCUCGAGAUAGAUAUGUGAUUGAAGUGAUGCAACAUUGUCGUAUUUUUUUAUAUAUUAAAGAUUUGAAUAAUAUAAAUUUUUUAUUUUUGCUGCAAUAUUCUUUUUUACAUAUUAAUAUUUUUAAGCUAAACUUUAAAUUUAUCCGAUGAAUAUACUUCUAAUCAAACAUUUAAACGGUACUAUUCGAUGGAUCUACUGCAGCUUAUGGCUUAUGAGUCAUAGCUGUGACAUCAAAUAUGCAACACCUCAUAGUUGGGCACUAUCAAGCAUCAAGUAGUGAGAAAGUUAUUAGAAGUCAAAUAAGACAUGAUCAUUUGUGAAAUAUCUUACUUCGGGUUAUUUUAGUCAUGGGCUACUUUUAUUGAUUUUAUGGUAAAUGCCGCCUAAAAUGUUUUUAAAAAAUAUUAAAAAUAUAUUGUUAUUUGGAUUCAAUUAUGUUGUAACUGUACCAAUGUGCAUUUGGCCCAGUGGGAGAACCAUUGCAAUUAUAAUGUUGAGUAUAAGGGUUCGAGCUUCCAUAAAAGCAUUAUGGGGUUUAAUUUCAAUCCUCACUCAAUUAUCAAAUAAUUGAGUGGAGCCAAUUUAUUCCUCACGAAAUGUGAGUGGAAAGUUUAAAGAAUAUGUUGUAUAAUCUGUUUGUAAAUAAUAAUUGUCUGGGCAACGCUUCAGAGGAGUACAUGCCACGAAGAAGGUCUCAGUUGUAUAAUCUAUUUGUAAAUAAUAAUUGUCUAGGUCGCGCUUCAGAGGAGUACAUGUCACGAAGAAGGUCUCAGAUUGUAUAAUCUGUUUGUAAAUAAUAAUAUCUGAUGUAAUAUCAGUAAUAGUUCUAUAUAACAGUAUUUAAAAAAAAAACUAUAUUGUAACUGUGAUACAAAGAAAAAAAUUUGUAAUCUUGAAAAUUGACCACAUCCUCCUCCGAAGUCAACAAUGGCGCAGUGGGAGCUUUAUCAAUAACUCCACAAUCUCGCAACACCUCUUAGCCUCAAUUGCUCACUUUCACUCCCUUCUGUAUCUCCCUCAAUUCCUAUGUGUACUGCGGCCAUGGCGACAAGAAAAUAGCCAAAAGAAAGUGUUUCAAUCACUCCUUCGACAACCCGAGGCAGUGUGACAAAGAAGAAAGGUAGAGGACCACCCAGAGUGAUGGCACCUACUACCCGCCGAGGGGAGAUUGGUUUGUGACUAUGAGAAAUUGGGUAGAUUUUUAAGCCUAUUUCGUUGAUGAAAAUGGAUGGAAAUUGGAGAUAAAUUGGCUAUAAGUCUAAGCGUCAUCAGGCAAUAGAGUUAAACACAAAGGUGGUUGAUGGAAACAAGAGAAAAAUGAUGUUUGUUGCUCGCCUCAGUUAGAAAUAAUAUCGUAUUUGUUUUAUUUUUCUUUUUCAAUUGAGUUAAACGACAUUGAUUUUUCUUUUCUUUUUCCCACAAAUCACGUUAUACGAUGUAGUUUUUACUAUACGAAUGAAAUGACCAUUUAUCCCUCCAAUGUCAGCAACGUUCUAACAACAUCAAGACGGAAAUAAAUGAGUGCAUAAAAUGCUAACUUCAAGUGGCGCAUUGAAAAAAAAAAGUAUUUGUGUACUUUUGAAAAUGUCUAAAAAAUAAGUGGUCAGUAGAUAAUUAUCCAAAUUUUACUAAUAGAAUUUGUCAUAACCAAGUCAUUGUUUGAUUUAGCUUAUUUGAUAGUUUUAUUUAAUUUCAUAAUUUUAAUAAAAAUUUUUAAAGAUUAAACAGGUUGUUUUAUUUCUAUUAGAAAAAUUUUAAAUUUUAAGAUUUUGAAAAUAGAUAUUAAAAAGUUUUCUCAAAAUGUUAACAUAUUUAAAAUAACUUUUAUUUAUUUAACAAUCUUAUCUCAUUUCUUUCGUAACAUAACUUUAAAAAACUUAUCGGUUAAAAUAAUUUUAUAAAUUUUAAUAUAAGCUCUCAUUGAUAAUUAAACAACUAAUAUUUUUUUUUUGUAAAAACUCUAUUUAAAUAAAUUCUAUUUAAAAAAUUAUAUUAAACGAAGAAUCUUAAGUGUUAUCUUAUGUACAAGUGUGAACGUAUUUUAUAUUUGUGUGCGUACUAUUGGCCAAUAUUAAUCUUUUGAGUGAAAAACAUAUUUAUCCUUUAAAACAUUUGAAUGAUAUGUUAAAGAAAACUGAGAUUAUUUUAACUAUUUUUUAAUUUAUGAAGUAACAUGAAAAAAAAAAGAUCAUACACAUAAAUAAAUUAUGAUCUUAGAUAAAAAAAUGUCUAAGUUAUAAUUUACCUUGGAGAUUCAAGUUUAUAAAAUCCACAUGAGGAUAGCGCGUUACACAUUUUUCACUUGUAGUAGAUUGAAUUCAAGUGGAAGUGGUGUUUCGCAUAUAAGAGAUUGAAACACUCUUAAUAUUCGUGAGUUUUCAUGUGACUAAGGGCUUGCUUCUUGUGAUUGCUUUUAAAAGGUCAAAAGUGAUUUUUUUAGAAUAAAAAUUUAUUUAAUUAUUAUAUUUUGAAGUUAAUACCUGUUUAGUCUUUAUAUUUUUUAAAAUACCUCAAAACAUUCAUGCCGUUAAAUUAUUGACAUCCCUAUUGUUACUCUUUUUUUUUUUUGGGCUUGCUUUUACAUUUACCUUCCUACAAUAACAUUCUUUUGUUUUUGGACAUUAAUAAAAAGAAAAAAUUAAAUUACCAAUUUAACCUCAAAAAAUAAAAUAGAACAAAAGAUUAUACAUUGAUUUUUGUGGAAUACUCUACUAAGGAGUUAAUAUAUUAAUUUAUUUAUUAAUAUCCAAAAAAAUUGAUAAUUUAAUUUUUUUACAAUAUUAAUUUUUUUAGACAUACAUGAGAUUCCACCAAAAUUAAUAUAUAUUUGUUUUUAUUUUAUUUUUGGGAUUAAAUUUGUAAUUUAAUUUUUUAUUAAAGUCCAACAAAAAGAAAUAUUAUUGUAAGAGAGUAAUAUUAUAAAAGCAAGAUAAAAGGAACAAAAUGUAACAACAGUGACAUCAAUGAUAUAAUGACAUAGAUGUUUUGAGAUAUUUUUUAAAAAAAAGAGCAAUAACCUUAAAAUAUAGUGACUAAACAAACUUUUAUCCUUUUUUUUAUAAAUUACUUUUAGUAAACUAACUCAUCCUACAGUAGAUUUUGAAAAGAAAGAAAAGAAUAACAUUUCAAAUUUUAAUUUUGAAAAUAAUUUUUAUACAUAAUACAAUUUCAUACACAUGUAAAAUAUAUUAUAAAAAUCUAAAAUUAUCCUUAAUUCAAUCAAGAAAUAAAACGAUCAAAUUUAAAGAGAUUACUAUUAUUACCAAUUAUAUUGAGAUAACAAAAUAAAAAGUACAAUUAAUAAAAUAAAAAUAUUUUUUUAAGUUAUCAAUUAUUAUAUAUACAUAUAAAAUUAUAUAUACUGCUGUACCGUACAUCNNNNNNNNNNNNNNNNNNNNNNNNNNNNNNNNNNNNNNNNNNNNNNNNNNNNNNNNNNNNNNNNNNNNNNNNNNNNNNNNNNNNNNNNNNNNNNNNNNNNNNNNNNNNNNNNUAUCGUAUUUGUUUUAUUUUUCUUUUUCAAUUGAGUUAAACGACAUUGAUUUUUCUUUUUUUCCCACAAAUUACGUUAUACGAUGUAGUUUUCACUAUACGAAUGAAAUGACCAUUUACCCCUACAAUAUCAGCAACAUUCUAACAGCAUCAAGAUAGAAAUAAACGAGUGCACAAAAUGCUAACUUCAAGUGGCGCAUUGAAAAAAAAAAGUAUUUGUGUACUUUUGAAAAUGUCUAAAAAAUAAGUGGUCAGUAGAUAAUUAUCCAAAUUUUACUAAUAGAAUUUGUCAUAACCAAGUCAUUGUUUGAUUUAGCUUAUUUGAUAGUUUUAUUUAAUUUCAUAAUUUUAAUAAAAAUUUUUAAAGAUUAAACAGGUUGUUUUAUUUCUAUUAGAAAAAUUUUAAAUUUUAAGAUUUUGAAAAUAGAUAUUAAAAAGUUUUCUCAAAAUGUUAACAUAUUUAAAAUAACUUUUAUUUAUUUAACAAUCUUAUCUCAUUUCUUUCGUAACAUAACUUUAAAAAACUUAUCGGUUAAAAUAAUUUUAUAAAUUUUAAUAUAAGCUCUCAUUGAUAAUUAAACAACUAAUAUUUUUUUUUUGUAAAAACUCUAUUUAAAUAAAUUCUAUUUAAAAAAUUAUAUUAAACGAAGAAUCUUAAGUGUUAUCUUAUGUACAAGUGUGAACGUAUUUUAUAUUUGUGUGCGUACUAUUGGCCAAUAUUAAUCUUUUGAGUGAAAAACAUAUUUAUCCUUUAAAACAUUUGAAUGAUAUGUUAAAGAAAACUGAGAUUAUUUUAACUAUUUUUUAAUUUAUGAAGUAACAUGAAAAAAAAAAGAUCAUACACAUAAAUAAAUUAUGAUCUUAGAUAAAAAAAUGUCUAAGUUAUAAUUUACCUUGGAGAUUCAAGUUUAUAAAAUCCACAUGAGGAUAGCGCGUUACACAUUUUUCACUUGUAGUAGAUUGAAUUCAAGUGGAAGUGGUGUUUCGCAUAUAAGAGAUUGAAACACUCUUAAUAUUCGUGAGUUUUCAUGUGACUAAGGGCUUGCUUCUUGUGAUUGCUUUUAAAAGGUCAAAAGUGAUUUUUUUAGAAUAAAAAUUUAUUUAAUUAUUAUAUUUUGAAGUUAAUACCUGUUUAGUCUUUAUAUUUUUUAAAAUACCUCAAAACAUUCAUGCCGUUAAAUUAUUGACAUCCCUAUUGUUACUCUUUUUUUUUUUUGGGCUUGCUUUUACAUUUACCUUCCUACAAUAACAUUCUUUUGUUUUUGGACAUUAAUAAAAAGAAAAAAUUAAAUUACCAAUUUAACCUCAAAAAAUAAAAUAGAACAAAAGAUUAUACAUUGAUUUUUGUGGAAUACUCUACUAAGGAGUUAAUAUAUUAAUUUAUUUAUUAAUAUCCAAAAAAAUUGACAAUUUAAUUUUUUUACAAUAUUAAUUUUUUUAGACAUACAUGAGAUUCCACCAAAAUUAAUAUAUAUUUGUUUUUAUUUUAUUUUUGGGAUUAAAUUUGUAAUUUAAUUUUUUAUUAAAGUCCAAAAAAAGAAACGUUAUUGUAAGACAGUAAUAUUAUAAAAGCAAGAUAAAAGGAAUAAAAAGUAACAACAGUGGCAUCAAUAAUUUAACGACAUAGAUGUUUUGAGAUAUUUUUUAAAAAAGAGCACUAACCUUAAAAUAUAGUGACUAAAUAAGGUUUUACCCUUUUUUUUAUAAAUUACUUUUAGUAAAAUAACUCAUCCUACAGUAGAUUUUGAAAAGAAAGAAAAGAAUAGCAUUUCAAAAUUUAAUUUUAAAAAUAAGUUUUAUACAUAAUACAAUUUCAUACAUAUGUAAAAUAUAUAUUAUAAAAAUCUAAAAUUAUCCUUAAUUCAAUCAAGAAAUAAAACGAUCAAAUUUAAAGAGAUUACUAUUAUUACCAAUUAUAUUGAGAUAACAAAAUAAAAAGUACAAUUAAUAAAAUAAAAAUAUUCAUUUUAGUUAUUCUCUCUCUCUCUCUCUCUCUCUCUCUCUCUCUCUCUCUCUCUCUCUCUCUCUCUCUGUGUGUAUGUAUGUAUGUAUGUAUGUAUGUAUUUAUUUAUAAAUAUAUAGAUAAAUUUUAUUUAACAUUAUGUUCAUUUCAAUCAUUUAUAUUUUUACAAUAUUUUAACGGUGAAAUUUACCAAAUAUAUACGGUUAUUUUUAAAACUCACAGCAUUUCUAAAAAUAAAUUUCACCAAACAGUUAAUGGUAAUUAUUUCUCUUCACAACUAAUUAUUUCUAUAAUAUAAUUAACAGUAAUUAUUUUAAAAACUACAAUAUUAUCAAAUUGGCAUGAAGAAUAUCAUAUCAAUGUAAAUAAAUGAAAAAAAUAGAAAAAAAAAAACAGAUUUACUAUACUAUAUAAUUUAACCCAAUGCUUUUGCAAGUAUUUUACAAUCUCACAAGUCAAUUCAAAUAAAAUAACAACCAUUCAAUAGUGAAAAUGACCCAUAGAGACUAGUGAUUAUAUUAUUGAUUAUUUGGAAGAGACAACAGAAGAUUGAACAUUGAGCAAAUUAGGUAUCACGUUUCCAUCAAUCUUAGGGUAACAUGCAUCAACGACAGCUAUUAUACAUUAGGCUUCAUUGCAUGCCCAAUAUUUUAUUUGAUAAGCAAUAAUUAAAAUAUCCAAACUAUUAAUGUGCAAAAGAGUAUCAUGCAUAACAUACGUUAUGUGAAUAGUAAAGUUACAUAUAAUAUAAUUUACAUCAGAAAUUAUAAUCUAAAAGUGGGGCUCAGUAAUUUAUAAAAAUUGACUAUUAAAGUUGCAUUUGAUUUUUUUUUAGUGUUAGUUUAGUUUGAUGUAACUUAAAAAGUUGUACAUUUGAUUGAUAUUUUUCUUAUUUUUCUGUCGGCACAAAUCCAAUUUCGGGUGGUUGUUUAUUACAAAAAUCUUAAUUUAGACUACAAUUUGUUUUUUUUGGGUAAUUUAACAUAAUAUAUAAUCGAUAGUCCACAAUUUUGUUGAAGAAAUGUAGGGCACAAAUAAUUAGCUUUACAAGUUUCUUAGAAUAAAAACAAAAUCUAAUAUAUAUAUAUAUAUAUGUAUAAUUUGUUGGGUUAGGAGAAGAUUAAAGAUUCAGACAAUCAACUGAAACAUCUCAAGACUUGAGUCAUCGAUAUAUAUAUAUAUAUUUUUUUUUUUUCUGCACCGACAGAGUGCGAUUAUAAAAAUUCAAGCCAAGGCCUACAUGGCCCACAUUCCUAGCUGGCUGCGUUUAUCGAGUCUUUUUACACCGUUAGAUUUUUUAUUUAUUUUUUGCCCUUUUGACACUUCUACUGUCUACGCGGCCCGCGAACUACCGAAGUUACUAAAAUAUCCUUGCUGAUGUUUUAUACAUUGGCUUAUUUUAUGAAUUUAUAGAGAAGUUACAAUUUUACCUAAGUAAGUUUUAGUUUGAUUUGUGUUUUCUUAUCUAUUGAUAUGUAUUAUAAUUUUACCUAAGCAAACUUUAGUUUGAUUUUUGUUUUCUUAUCUAUUCAUAUUACAUAAAAUUUUCAUUAAAAAAAAAAGAACAAAGAAUUUCAUGGAACUUUGCUUGUAUUGGUAUGAAGCAAAAUUAUACAAACCAUAAAGUGCUCUGUUAAUAAUUAGUAUUAUAUCUCAACUAACACUUUUUAAGGAAUAAAAUGAGCACGAAUCAUUCUUAUUGAAUAAAGAUAUAAUAUUUUUCAUUAUCAUAAUUUAUUAAUGGAGUUUUUUUUAUUUAUACGUGUUAUUACGAAAAUACUCUGAAUUGUUUUAUCAUUCUGUUACUUGAAUGCCCAGGAUCAGAAUUUAAGAAGAUUGAUGUAUUCAAGCUGACCAUGAGCAUAUAUAAUAAUGAUAAUACAUGUAUGAGAAGUUUUACAAAAGAAAUUGUUUUACCUUAAUAAAGUAAAUACAAUGUAUUUUGUUCUUUUAAUAAUAAUAAUGACAGUAAUAAUCAUAAAUAAUAAUAAUUAAAAUAAUAAAAUUUAAUAACAAUAAUCUUAUAUAAUAAUAAUGAUGAUAUUAAUAAUAAUAAUAAUAAUAAAUUAAAAUUCUUUUCAAAUGUCAUUUUAUUCUAAAAAUGAACUUAUAUGUAAAAUGUUGUAACUUUUGGUUCCUAAUGAAUUUUGCAAAAAAUAUAAGGUGAUGUAAUGUAAUCAAACACAAAAGGACAAAAGUUAUUGUAUAUUGAAACUGUUGCAACAUAGGCGGACCCCUAAAAGUGAUACUCAGUAAUUUAUAAAAAUUGACUAUUAAAAUUGCAUUUGAAUUUUUUGUUUUUAGUGUUAGUUUAGUUUGAUGUAACUUAAAAAGUUGUACAUUUGAUUGAUAUUUUUCUUAUUUUUCUGUCGGCACAAAUCCAAUUUCGGGUGGUUGUUUAUUACAAAAAUCUUAAUUUAGACUACAAUUUUUUUUUUUUUGGUAAUUUAAACAUAAUAUAUAAUCGAUAGUCCACAAUUUUGUUGAAGAAAUGUAGGGCACAAAUAAUUAGCUUUACAAGUUUCUUAGAAUAUAAACAAAAUCUAAUAUAUAUAUAUAUAUAUGUAUAAUUUGUUGGGUUAGGAGAAGAUUAAAGAUUCAGACAAUCAACUGAAACAUCUCAAGACUUGAGUCAUCGAUUUUUUUUUUUUUCUGCACCGACAGAGUGCGAUUAUAAAAAUUCAAGCCAAGGCCUACAUGGCCCACAUUCCUAGCUGGCUGCGUUUAUCGAGUCUUUUUACACCGUUAGAUUUUUUAUUUAUUUUUUGCCCUUUUGACACUUCUACUGUCUACGCGGCCCGCGAACUACCGAAGUUACUAAAAUAUCCUUGCUGAUGUUUUAUACAUUGGCUUAUUUUAUGAAUUUAUAGAGAAGUUACAAUUUUACCUAAGUAAGUUUUAGUUUGAUUUGUGUUUUCUUAUCUAUUGAUAUGUAUUAUAAUUUUACCUAAGCAAACUUUAGUUUGAUUUUUGUUUUCUUAUCUAUUCAUAUUACAUAAAAUUUUCAUUAAAAAAAAAAGAACAAAGAAUUUCAUGGAACUUUGCUUGUAUUGGUAUGAAGCAAAAUUAUACAAACCAUAAAGUGCUCUGUUAAUAAUUAGUAUUAUAUCUCAACUAACACUUUUUAAGGAAUAAAAUGAGCACGAAUCAUUCUUAUUGAAUAAAGAUAUAAUAUUUUUCAUUAUCAUAAUUUAUUAAUGGAGUUUUUUUUAUUUAUACGUGUUAUUACGAAAAUACUCUGAAUUGUUUUAUCAUUCUGUUACUUGAAUGCCCAGGAUCAGAAUUUAAGAAGAUUGAUGUAUUCAAGCUGACCAUGAGCAUAUAUAAUAAUGAUAAUACAUGUAUGAGAAGUUUUACAAAAGAAAUUGUUUUACCUUAAUAAAGUAAAUACAAUGUAUUUUGUUCUGUACUAUAUUAAUUUUUUUUUCUUUUAGUUUGUCUUAUCGCUUUGAUAUUGAGUUUAAAAUGCUAUAAACUUUCUUUUUCGGAUUGCAAUGAAUUGUAUAUCAUAAAUUUUGACAAAAAUAUGUUUGCUAAAUUUUUUAAAAGUUGCUUAUUAUAAGCACCUCAUUAAAUAAGCUACAUACUUUUUUUUAAAGUUCUUAGUAUAAUCUUAAUAUUUAAAAAAAUAUAUAUAAUUUAAACUUAUUUAUAUUUUUCCCAUUAAAAUAAUAACAUGACAUUUUCGUAAUAAAAUUUACUAAUACAUAUAUUAUAUUUUUUUAAACUUAUAGCAACUGCAACAAUAUAAUUUACCUAACAACAAAAUUAUUUUUAAUUAAUAACUUAUUUUAUGCACAUUGCAGAAGCAGCUUUUUAAAAAUAAAGAAUUUGUAUAAUAUAAAAUUACUCAUAUUUGUAUAAUAUUAUUUAAAAAAAUAUUUGUGCAAAUAUAAUAUAUCUAUUAAAACUAUUAACAUAAAACAAAUAUUAUAUAUAUAUGGCGUACGGCCUACUCCACUCCUAAGAUAAUCACAAUUAUUGGCUAUAACUAACCACUUCCGCAAAAAGAGAGUAAUCUCAUAAUCAAACACAUCAAUUACAUCAAUGAUAACGAUAUUCUUUAAUAACAAGUUUGUUAAGAAAAAUUAACGAUUUUCAUUAAAUUACACUGAAAUUAUAAUAAUAAUUUGUUAACUCCCACAAGGGUAUUAUAGUAAUAUGACUCAGCACGCACGUGAAUGUGAUUACAGUUAACCUUGAGCUAAUUCGUAUAUGAGUCAGUCCCUUAGCUAUGUGAAUGACAAAAGAAGUCUUCUUUACUGCUCUCUCUCUCUCUCUCUCUCUCUCUCUCUCUCUCUCUCUCUCUCUCUCUCUCUCUCUCUCUCUCUCUCUCUCUCUCUCUCUCUCUCUCUCUCUCUCUCUCUCUCUCUCUCUCUCUCUCUCUCUCUCUCUCUCUCUCUCUCUCUCUCUCUCUCUCUCUCUCUCUCUCUCUCUCUCUCUCUCUCUCUCUCUCUCUCUCUCUCUCUCUCUCUCUCUCUCUCUCUCUCUCUCUCUCUCUCUCUCUCUCUCUCUCUCUCUCUCUCUCUCUCUCUCUCUCUCUCUCUCUCUCUCUCUCUCUCUCUCUCUCUCUCUCUCUCUCUCUCUCUCUCUCUCUCUCUCUCUCUCUCUCUCUCUCUCUCUCUCUCUCUCUCUCUCUCUCUCUCUCUCUCUCUCUCUCUCUCUCUCUCUCUCUCUCUCUCUCUCUCUCUCUCUCUCUCUCUCUCUCUCUCUCUCUCUCUCUCUCUCUCUCUCUCUCUCUCUCUCUCUCUCUCUCUCUCUCUCUCUCUCUCUCUCUCUCUCUCUCUCUCUCUCUCUCUCUCUCUCUCUCUCUCUCUCUCUCUCUCUCUCUCUCUCUCUCUCUCUCUCUCUCUCUCUCUCUCUCUCUCUCUCUCUCUCUCUCUCUCUCUCUCUCUCUCUCUCUCUCUCUCUCUCUCUCUCUCUCUCUCUCUCUCUCUCUCUCUCUCUCUCUCUCUCUCUCUCUCUCUCUCUCUCUCUCUCUCUCUCUCUCUCUCUCUCUCUCUCUCUCUCUCUCUCUCUCUCUCUCUCUCUCUCUCUCUCUCUCUCUCUCUCUCUCUCUCUCUCUCUCUCUCUCUCUCUCUCUCUCUCUCUCUCUCUCUCUCUCUCUCUCUCUCUCUCUCUCUCUCUCUCUCUCUCUCUCUCUCUCUCUCUCUCUCUCUCUCUCUCUCUCUCUCUCUCUCUCUCUCUCUCUCUCUCUCUCUCUCUCUCUCUCUCUCUCUCUCUCUCUCUCUCUCUCUCUCUCUCUCUCUCUCUCUCUCUCUCUCUCUCUCUCUCUCUCUCUCUCUCUCUCUCUCUCUCUCUCUCUCUCUCUCUCUCUCUCUCUCUCUCUCUCUCUCUCUCUCUCUCUCUCUCUCUCUCUCUCUCUCUCUCUCUCUCUCUCUCUCUCUCUCUCUCUCUCUCUCUCUCUCUCUCUCUCUCUCUCUCUCUCUCUCUCUCUCUCUCUCUCUCUCUCUCUCUCUCUCUCUCUCUCUCUCUCUCUCUCUCUCUCUCUCUCUCUCUCUCUCUCUCUCUCUCUCUCUCUCUCUCUCUCUCUCUCUCUCUCUCUCUCUCUCUCUCUCUCUCUCUCUCUCUCUCUCUCUCUCUCUCUCUCUCUCUCUCUCUCUCUCUCUCUCUCUCUCUCUCUCUCUCUCUCUCUCUCUCUCUCUCUCUCUCUCUCUCUCUCUCUCUCUCUCUCUCUCUCUCUCUCUCUCUCUCUCUCUCUCUCUCUCUCUCUCUCUCUCUCUCUCUCUCUCUCUCUCUCUCUCUCUCUCUCUCUCUCUCUCUCUCUCUCUCUCUCUCUCUCUCUCUCUCUCUCUCUCUCUCUCUCUCUCUCUCUCUCUCUCUCUCUCUCUCUCUCUCUCUCUCUCUCUCUCUCUCUCUCUCUCUCUCUCUCUCUCUCUCUCUCUCUCUCUCUCUCUCUCUCUCUCUCUCUCUCUCUCUCUCUCUCUCUCUCUCUCUCUCUCUCUCUCUCUCUCUCUCUCUCUCUCUCUCUCUCUCUCUCUCUCUCUCUCUCUCUCUCUCUCUCUCUCUCUCUCUCUCUCUCUCUCUCUCUCUCUCUCUCUCUCUCUCUCUCUCUCUCUCUCUCUCUCUCUCUCUCUCUCUCUCUCUCUCUCUCUCUCUCUCUCUCUCUCUCUCUCUCUCUCUCUCUCUCUCUCUCUCUCUCUCUCUCUCUCUCUCUCUCUCUCUCUCUCUCUCUCUCUCUCUCUCUCUCUCUCUCUCUCUCUCUCUCUCUCUCUCUCUCUCUCUCUCUCUCUCUCUCUCUCUCUCUCUCUCUCUCUCUCUCUCUCUCUCUCUCUCUCUCUCUCUCUCUCUCUCUCUCUCUCUCUCUCUCUCUCUCUCUCUCUCUCUCUCUCUCUCUCUCUCUCUCUCUCUCUCUCUCUCUCUCUCUCUCUCUCUCUCUCUCUCUCUCUCUCUCUCUCUCUCUCUCUCUCUCUCUCUCUCUCUCUCUCUCUCUCUCUCUCUCUCUCUCUCUCUCUCUCUCUCUCUCUCUCUCUCUCUCUCUCUCUCUCUCUCUCUCUCUCUCUCUCUCUCUCUCUCUCUCUCUCUCUCUCUCUCUCUCUCUCUCUCUCUCUCUCUCUCUCUCUCUCUCUCUCUCUCUCUCUCUCUCUCUCUCUCUCUCUCUCUCUCUCUCUCUCUCUCUCUCUCUCUCUCUCUCUCUCUCUCUCUCUCUCUCUCUCUCUCUCUCUCUCUCUCUCUCUCUCUCUCUCUCUCUCUCUCUCUCUCUCUCUCUCUCUCUCUCUCUCUCUCUCUCUCUCUCUCUCUCUCUCUCUCUCUCUCUCUCUCUCUCUCUCUCUCUCUCUCUCUCUCUCUCUCUCUCUCUCUCUCUCUCUCUCUCUCUCUCUCUCUCUCUCUCUCUCUCUCUCUCUCUCUCUCUCUCUCUCUCUCUCUCUCUCUCUCUCUCUCUCUCUCUCUCUCUCUCUCUCUCUCUCUCUCUCUCUCUCUCUCUCUCUCUCUCUCUCUCUCUCUCUCUCUCUCUCUCUCUCUCUCUCUCUCUCUCUCUCUCUCUCUCUCUCUCUCUCUCUCUCUCUCUCUCUCUCUCUCUCUCUCUCUCUCUCUCUCUCUCUCUCUCUCUCUCUCUCUCUCUCUCUCUCUCUCUCUCUCUCUCUCUCUCUCUCUCUCUCUCUCUCUCUCUCUCUCUCUCUCUCUCUCUCUCUCUCUCUCUCUCUCUCUCUCUCUCUCUCUCUCUCUCUCUCUCUCUCUCUCUCUCUCUCUCUCUCUCUCUCUCUCUCUCUCUCUCUCUCUCUCUCUCUCUCUCUCUCUCUCUCUCUCUCUCUCUCUCUCUCUCUCUCUCUCUCUCUCUCUCUCUCUCUCUCUCUCUCUCUCUCUCUCUCUCUCUCUCUCUCUCUCUCUCUCUCUCUCUCUCUCUCUCUCUCUCUCUCUCUCUCUCUCUCUCUCUCUCUCUCUCUCUCUCUCUCUCUCUCUCUCUCUCUCUCUCUCUCUCUCUCUCUCUCUCUCUCUCUCUCUCUCUCUCUCUCUCUCUCUCUCUCUCUCUCUCUCUCUCUCUCUCUCUCUCUCUCUCUCUCUCUCUCUCUCUCUCUCUCUCUCUCUCUCUCUCUCUCUCUCUCUCUCUCUCUCUCUCUCUCUCUCUCUCUCUCUCUCUCUCUCUCUCUCUCUCUCUCUCUCUCUCUCUCUCUCUCUCUCUCUCUCUCUCUCUCUCUCUCUCUCUCUCUCUCUCUCUCUCUCUCUCUCUCUCUCUCUCUCUCUCUCUCUCUCUCUCUCUCUCUCUCUCUCUCUCUCUCUCUCUCUCUCUCUCUCUCUCUCUCUCUCUCUCUCUCUCUCUCUCUCUCUCUCUCUCUCUCUCUCUCUCUCUCUCUCUCUCUCUCUCUCUCUCUCUCUCUCUCUCUCUCUCUCUCUCUCUCUCUCUCUCUCUCUCUCUCUCUCUCUCUCUCUCUCUCUCUCUCUCUCUCUCUCUCUCUCUCUCUCUCUCUCUCUCUCUCUCUCUCUCUCUCUCUCUCUCUCUCUCUCUCUCUCUCUCUCUCUCUCUCUCUCUCUCUCUCUCUCUCUCUCUCUCUCUCUCUCUCUCUCUCUCUCUCUCUCUCUCUCUCUCUCUCUCUCUCUCUCUCUCUCUCUCUCUCUCUCUCUCUCUCUCUCUCUCUCUCUCUCUCUCUCUCUCUCUCUCUCUCUCUCUCUCUCUCUCUCUCUCUCUCUCUCUCUCUCUCUCUCUCUCUCUCUCUCUCUCUCUCUCUCUCUCUCUCUCUCUCUCUCUCUCUCUCUCUCUCUCUCUCUCUCUCUCUCUCUCUCUCUCUCUCUCUCUCUCUCUCUCUCUCUCUCUCUCUCUCUCUCUCUCUCUCUCUCUCUCUCUCUCUCUCUCUCUCUCUCUCUCUCUCUCUCUCUCUCUCUCUCUCUCUCUCUCUCUCUCUCUCUCUCUCUCUCUCUCUCUCUCUCUCUCUCUCUCUCUCUCUCUCUCUCUCUCUCUCUCUCUCUCUCUCUCUCUCUCUCUCUCUCUCUCUCUCUCUCUCUCUCUCUCUCUCUCUCUCUCUCUCUCUCUCUCUCUCUCUCUCUCUCUCUCUCUCUCUCUCUCUCUCUCUCUCUCUCUCUCUCUCUCUCUCUCUCUCUCUCUCUCUCUCUCUCUCUCUCUCUCUCUCUCUCUCUCUCUCUCUCUCUCUCUCUCUCUCUCUCUCUCUCUCUCUCUCUCUCUCUCUCUCUCUCUCUCUCUCUCUCUCUCUCUCUCUCUCUCUCUCUCUCUCUCUCUCUCUCUCUCUCUCUCUCUCUCUCUCUCUCUCUCUCUCUCUCUCUCUCUCUCUCUCUCUCUCUCUCUCUCUCUCUCUCUCUCUCUCUCUCUCUCUCUCUCUCUCUCUCUCUCUCUCUCUCUCUCUCUCUCUCUCUCUCUCUCUCUCUCUCUCUCUCUCUCUCUCUCUCUCUCUCUCUCUCUCUCUCUCUCUCUCUCUCUCUCUCUCUCUCUCUCUCUCUCUCUCUCUCUCUCUCUCUCUCUCUCUCUCUCUCUCUCUCUCUCUCUCUCUCUCUCUCUCUCUCUCUCUCUCUCUCUCUCUCUCUCUCUCUCUCUCUCUCUCUCUCUCUCUCUCUCUCUCUCUCUCUCUCUCUCUCUCUCUCUCUCUCUCUCUCUCUCUCUCUCUCUCUCUCUCUCUCUCUCUCUCUCUCUCUCUCUCUCUCUCUCUCUCUCUCUCUCUCUCUCUCUCUCUCUCUCUCUCUCUCUCUCUCUCUCUCUCUCUCUCUCUCUCUCUCUCUCUCUCUCUCUCUCUCUCUCUCUCUCUCUCUCUCUCUCUCUCUCUCUCUCUCUCUCUCUCUCUCUCUCUCUCUCUCUCUCUCUCUCUCUCUCUCUCUCUCUCUCUCUCUCUCUCUCUCUCUCUCUCUCUCUCUCUCUCUCUCUCUCUCUCUCUCUCUCUCUCUCUCUCUCUCUCUCUCUCUCUCUCUCUCUCUCUCUCUCUCUCUCUCUCUCUCUCUCUCUCUCUCUCUCUCUCUCUCUCUCUCUCUCUCUCUCUCUCUCUCUCUCUCUCUCUCUCUCUCUCUCUCUCUCUCUCUCUCUCUCUCUCUCUCUCUCUCUCUCUCUCUCUCUCUCUCUCUCUCUCUCUCUCUCUCUCUCUCUCUCUCUCUCUCUCUCUCUCUCUCUCUCUCUCUCUCUCUCUCUCUCUCUCUCUCUCUCUCUCUCUCUCUCUCUCUCUCUCUCUCUCUCUCUCUCUCUCUCUCUCUCUCUCUCUCUCUCUCUCUCUCUCUCUCUCUCUCUCUCUCUCUCUCUCUCUCUCUCUCUCUCUCUCUCUCUCUCUCUCUCUCUCUCUCUCUCUCUCUCUCUCUCUCUCUCUCUCUCUCUCUCUCUCUCUCUCUCUCUCUCUCUCUCUCUCUCUCUCUCUCUCUCUCUCUCUCUCUCUCUCUCUCUCUCUCUCUCUCUCUCUCUCUCUCUCUCUCUCUCUCUCUCUCUCUCUCUCUCUCUCUCUCUCUCUCUCUCUCUCUCUCUCUCUCUCUCUCUCUCUCUCUCUCUCUCUCUCUCUCUCUCUCUCUCUCUCUCUCUCUCUCUCUCUCUCUCUCUCUCUCUCUCUCUCUCUCUCUCUCUCUCUCUCUCUCUCUCUCUCUCUCUCUCUCUCUCUCUCUCUCUCUCUCUCUCUCUCUCUCUCUCUCUCUCUCUCUCUCUCUCUCUCUCUCUCUCUCUCUCUCUCUCUCUCUCUCUCUCUCUCUCUCUCUCUCUCUCUCUCUCUCUCUCUCUCUCUCUCUCUCUCUCUCUCUCUCUCUCUCUCUCUCUCUCUCUCUCUCUCUCUCUCUCUCUCUCUCUCUCUCUCUCUCUCUCUCUCUCUCUCUCUCUCUCUCUCUCUCUCUCUCUCUCUCUCUCUCUCUCUCUCUCUCUCUCUCUCUCUCUCUCUCUCUCUCUCUCUCUCUCUCUCUCUCUCUCUCUCUCUCUCUCUCUCUCUCUCUCUCUCUCUCUCUCUCUCUCUCUCUCUCUCUCUCUCUCUCUCUCUCUCUCUCUCUCUCUCUCUCUCUCUCUCUCUCUCUCUCUCUCUCUCUCUCUCUCUCUCUCUCUCUCUCUCUCUCUCUCUCUCUCUCUCUCUCUCUCUCUCUCUCUCUCUCUCUCUCUCUCUCUCUCUCUCUCUCUCUCUCUCUCUCUCUCUCUCUCUCUCUCUCUCUCUCUCUCUCUCUCUCUCUCUCUCUCUCUCUCUCUCUCUCUCUCUCUCUCUCUCUCUCUCUCUCUCUCUCUCUCUCUCUCUCUCUCUCUCUCUCUCUCUCUCUCUCUCUCUCUCUCUCUCUCUCUCUCUCUCUCUCUCUCUCUCUCUCUCUCUCUCUCUCUCUCUCUCUCUCUCUCUCUCUCUCUCUCUCUCUCUCUCUCUCUCUCUCUCUCUCUCUCUCUCUCUCUCUCUCUCUCUCUCUCUCUCUCUCUCUCUCUCUCUCUCUCUCUCUCUCUCUCUCUCUCUCUCUCUCUCUCUCUCUCUCUCUCUCUCUCUCUCUCUCUCUCUCUCUCUCUCUCUCUCUCUCUCUCUCUCUCUCUCUCUCUCUCUCUCUCUCUCUCUCUCUCUCUCUCUCUCUCUCUCUCUCUCUCUCUCUCUCUCUCUCUCUCUCUCUCUCUCUCUCUCUCUCUCUCUCUCUCUCUCUCUCUCUCUCUCUCUCUCUCUCUCUCUCUCUCUCUCUCUCUCUCUCUCUCUCUCUCUCUCUCUCUCUCUCUCUCUCUCUCUCUCUCUCUCUCUCUCUCUCUCUCUCUCUCUCUCUCUCUCUCUCUCUCUCUCUCUCUCUCUCUCUCUCUCUCUCUCUCUCUCUCUCUCUCUCUCUCUCUCUCUCUCUCUCUCUCUCUCUCUCUCUCUCUCUCUCUCUCUCUCUCUCUCUCUCUCUCUCUCUCUCUCUCUCUCUCUCUCUCUCUCUCUCUCUCUCUCUCUCUCUCUCUCUCUCUCUCUCUCUCUCUCUCUCUCUCUCUCUCUCUCUCUCUCUCUCUCUCUCUCUCUCUCUCUCUCUCUCUCUCUCUCUCUCUCUCUCUCUCUCUCUCUCUCUCUCUCUCUCUCUCUCUCUCUCUCUCUCUCUCUCUCUCUCUCUCUCUCUCUCUCUCUCUCUCUCUCUCUCUCUCUCUCUCUCUCUCUCUCUCUCUUUUUAAUAAUAAUAAUGACAGUAAUAAUCAUAAAUAAUAAUAAUUAAAAUAAUAAAAUUUAAUAACAAUAAUCUUAUAUAAUAAUAAUGAUGAUAUUAAUAAUAAUAAUAAUAAUAAAUUAAAAUUCUUUUCAAAUGUCAUUUUAUUCUAAAAAUGAACUUAUAUGUAAAAUGUUGUAACUUUUGGUUCCUAAUGAAUUUUGCAAAAAAUAUAAGGUGAUGUAAUGUAAUCAAACACAAAAGGACAAAAGUUAUUGUAUAUUGAAACUGUUGCAACAUAGGCGGACCCCUAAAAGUGAUACUCAGUAAUUUAUAAAAAUUGACUAUUAAAAUUGCAUUUGAAUUUUUUGUUUUUAGUGUUAGUUUAGUUUGAUGUAACUUAAAAAGUUGUACAUUUGAUUGAUAUUUUUCUUAUUUUUCUGUCGGCACAAAUCCAAUUUCGGGUGGUUGUUUAUUACAAAAAUCUUAAUUUAGACUACAAUUUGUUUUUUUUGGGUAAUUUAACAUAAUAUAUAAUCGAUAGUCCACAAUUUUGUUGAAGAAAUGUAGGGCACAAAUAAUUAGCUUUACAAGUUUCUUAGAAUAAAAACAAAAUCUAAUAUAUAUAUAUAUAUAUAUAUAUGUAUAAUUUGUUGGGUUAGGAGAAGAUUAAAGAUUCAGACAAUCAACUGAAACAUCUCAAGACUUGAGUCAUCGAUUUUUUUUUUUUUCUGCACCGACAGAGUGCGAUUAUAAAAAUUCAAGCCAAGGCCUACAUGGCCCACAUUCCUAGCUGCCUGUGUUUACCGAGUCUUUUUACACCGUUAAGAUUUUUUUUUAAUUAUUUUUUUCCUUUUGACACUUCUACUGCCUACGCGGCCCGCGAACUACCGAAAUUAUUACAAUAUCCCUACUGACUUUUUAUACAUAGGUUUAUUUUAUGAAUUUAUAGAGAAGUUAUAAUUUUACCUAAGCAAAUUUUAGUUUGAUUUGUGUUUUCUUAUAUAUUCAUAUUACAUAAAAUUUUCAUUUAAAAAAAGAACAAAGAAUUUUCAUGGAGUUUUGCUUGUAUUGGUACAAAGCAAAAUUAUACAAAGUGGUCUAAUGAACUUUGUUAAUUAUUAGUAUUAUGUCUCAACUAACACUUUUUUAAAGAAUAAAAUGAGCAUGAAUCAUUCAUAUUAAAUAAAGAUAUAACAUUUUUCAUUACCAUAAUUUAUUAAUGGAGUUCCUUUUAUUUGAUUGUGUUAUUACAAAAAUACUCUGAAUUGUUCAUCAUUUUGUGAAUUGAAUGCCCAGAAUCAAUAAUUUAAGAAGAUUGAUGUAUUCAAGCUGACCAGUAGUAGAUAACUAGAUAUAGUAAUGAUAAUACAUGUAUGAGAAAUUUUACAAUAGCAAAUUUUUUAACUUGAUAAAGGAAGGAACAAGUUAAAAAAUAAAAUAAAACACUAAUGCAUUGUAUUUUGUUUUGUACUAAAUUGAAUUUAUUUAUUUAAUCUUUUAGUUUGUCUAACCGUUUUGAUAUUAAGUCUAAAACGCUAUAAACUUUCUUUUUCGCACUGCAAUGAAUUGUAUUUCAUAAAUUUUGACAAAAAUAUGUUUAAUAGUUUUAAUAGAUAUAUUAUAUUUGCACAAAUAUUUUUUUUAAAUAAUAACAUACAAAUAUGAGUAAUUUUAUAAUAAGAGAAUUCUCAUAAUCAAACACAUCAAUUACAUCAAUGAUAACGAUAUUCUUUAAUAACAAGUUUGCUAAGAAAAAUAACGAUUUUCAUUAAAUUACAAUGAAAUUAUAAUAAUAAUUUGUUAACUCCCACAAGGGGGUAUUAUAGUAAUAUGACUCAGCACGCACGUGAAUGAGAUUACAGUUAACCUUGAGCUAAUUCGUAUAUGAGUCAGUCCCUUAGCUAUGUGAAUGACAAAAGAAGUCUUCUUUACUGCUCUCUCUCUCUCUCUCUCUCUCUCUCUCUCUCUCUGUUUCAUUUCACUUUGAAGCAGAUCUUGAGUUUUGAGUCAUUGAUCAUUUGUUCCUUGGGAAACCUCUACAUCAAGGAAAAUGGAAUCUUUAAGGGGUUCGGUCACUGGAUCCAUUACCAGCAAGCUCAGUGGCUUCACCAUUCUGCUUCUGUUUUUGCUUUCUUGCUCCACUUUUACUUCCACAGGUCAGUCUCUCUCCGGCCUGUGUACAAGUUCCUAAAGAUCCUUUUUUGUGCUUUCUUUAAGUGUUUCUCUUGUUUUCUGAACCUGGAUAUCGGUUAUCUUCUUUAGAAGUGUAACAUUUUGCAUGAAUUUGGACGUUUAAUGGGAAAUUUAGUACUUUACUGAAUUUUUUGUUGCCAACUUUGAUUUGUUAAUUUCUUUAUAUGGUGUAUGGAUUGAGAUUUAAGAAUGAGAUAGGUUGCUAGUGAUAUGCAGGAGACUUGAAAGAUUUAAUCUUUCACUGAGUUAGUGAGUCAGAACUCAGAAUUUUUUUGAUCUGGUUAAGUCACAAGUUAAAAAAGAGUGUGUUUCUCAUUCAGGGAAAUAAUUUGGUUUAUUUGUUUCCAAGUCAAGUGAUUCAACUUGAAAUGAUUUAUAUUUUCGCAAUAAAUUAUGUUGUGGUCUUGUAAUGAUUUCUACCUAUGACUUGGGGUUUAAACGUUUCAGUUAGCAUAUGCUCGGAGAGUUGAAGACAAACAGGAUUGAUCCUAUAAUCAUAUUUUAUAUAGUGAAAAUUUCUGGUUGUCUUUGUCAAUGUAGGCCGAAAACCAAAAUAUGCAAAUCAUUUUACGUACUGUGUAUUGCUGUUUGCCAGUGUAUUUUCUUUACUUCUUUUCAAGUUCUUUUGAAGUUUUUCAUCUUGAACCUUAAUUAUGUUUUUGCAAUAUUGAGAACUAACGUUUAUUUUUCUCUAUGAAUGUCUAUGCAGAAGCCUAUGAUGCACUUGAUCCAAAUGGGAAUAUCACAAUAAAAUGGGAUAUAAUGUCCUGGACUCCAGAUGGCUAUGUUGUAAGUAUUAGUUAAUGAUAGAUUCUUCAAUUAUGUAAGUUACAUGCAAAAGUUACCUUGGAAUCAGAAUGAACACUUGCAUUAGAUUAUGAUUCAAGCUAACAUAGCAACAUUUGAUAAUGUUCCUGCGGCUGCCUUCUAGUUGUCCUCUUAAUGUUCUUUUGCAUCAACUCAAGUAUGAGAAAUUUGGAGAAUUCAUCUAGCUCUGAAUCAUGAUAUCUAUUUACUUGAAUUUUAAUGUAAAAUAUCUCUCUUAUUGGUUUUGGCAGGCUGUUGUUACGAUUUUCAACUUCCAACAAUAUCGCCAUAUUCAAGCACCAGGUUGGACAUUGGGGUGGACAUGGGCAAAAAAGGAAGUCAUCUGGAGCAUGAUGGGAGGACAAACCACAGAGCAAGGAGAUUGUUCAAAAUAUAAAGGGAACAUCCCACAUUGCUGCAAGAAGGAUCCAACAGUUGUAGAUUUGUUGCCGGGGACUCCAUAUAACCAGCAGAUUGCAAAUUGUUGCAAAGGGGGAGUAAUAAGCUCCUGGGCACAGGACCCAACUACUGCAUUAAGCUCAUUCCAGCUCAGUGUUGGUGCUGCAGGAACAACUAACAAAACUGUCAGAGUACCCAAAAAUUUCACACUUAAAGCCCCAGGGCCUGGAUACACUUGUGGACCUGCAAAAGUUGGUAAACCAACUAAAUUCAUUACGUCAGAUAAGAGGAGAGUCACACAAGCUAUGAGUAAGUUUCUUGUUAAAAUCUUUUUGAGUAAUGUAGAGGUGACUGCUUAUAUGUUAUUAUUGUAUUUUCAUCCAUAUAGUUUAGAAGUAUAAUAACACUGAAGUCCUCUAUGUUGUUGUGGGAAAACGUAUGCUCUGUGAAAUGGUCUAAAGGUUGAAGUAAGAUGUAAUAACAGCAGUUGGUUCUUGCUCAUGAUAAUGAGUACUACAAAACAUUCAAUGCCUUGUAACAGUGUUUUAAGUGAACCUUGCCUGUAUCUUAUUGCAGUGACCUGGAAUGUCACAUGCACAUAUUCACAGUUCUUGGCUCAAAAGACACCUUGUGUUUCUCUCUCUUCCUUCUACAAUGAAACAAUAGUAAGCUGCCCAACGCGUGCUUGUGACAGUUCAACACCAUAAAUCCAUGAUUAAAUCUACAUCAAGAUAACAAGAAAAACCUGGAUAACUCUGAAUGCUCUUUUUGCAGUAGCUUUCGAAAAAUCGAAGAACCUGAAAGUUGUUAAUAAGCACCAUAAGAAAAAAGUGAGCUCAAUAUCAAUUUCUUAAACACCAAAAUAAGACCAUUGGUCUUAUAAGACAUUUAAAAGUGGAUUAGAAACAAUUAGGUGUACCAUAAUUGGCAAAACAUUAUACAAUUUUGAAAAAUACACUAAAAUAGGAACAUAGUUAAAGAUUAGGCUGAACAUAAAUUAAUGAAGACACCUAUUUUUCACAGUAGAAUAAACCAUACUUUAUUGUGUGAUCCUUGCCCCCAGAUAUCAGAACAGUGUUUUGAGGAUGGAAAUCCAAAUCAUUUAUAGGCUGCUUUUGCAUCGGCAAAACAAAUGUCAACAAGAGAUAGAUCUUAAGACAUUCACAUCAGAAGGGAGUACAUUAGUGUUUUGAACAGGGUAUAAAAGAAUGGAAGAAUUACUAAGUGGUAGAUUGGUAAAAAGAAAAUUGAAAAAAGAACUUGGAAACUUGAGGCGAAUAAAGCACAACUAGUCAGUUUUCUAAACUAAAAAUGGAAAUGCAAGAAACUAGACUCCACAGAACAGUUUAAUGUAGUAGAGACUUUUAGAGCAGUUGGCACUCAGCAAUAGCCAGAAAAUAAGGUGGGUUUACUUGUAUAUGGUCAUAAAAAGUCCGUAUGACUGGCCGCACAGGACCAUCCGUUGAAUCUGGCAGCAUCAUUUGCUUGAUUUUUGCGACCUGAAAGAGAAUAUAAGAACUUUGGAGUUAGACACAGACACCCAGAAGAAAAAAGGUCACGAUAAGAUUACAAAUAUCAAAACCUCAAAGAGCUUGAUUGAUGUGUCUGCACUUCCAGUCGCAAUAAAUCUUCCAAUCAGGACUAAAUCUUGCACAUCUGGCAAUGUUCUAGAAAACGAGACCCAUCAGUCCAUAAUUAGAAAACUAACACGAAUUGUAGAAGCCACAUUUAUUUUCCCCUACAAUGGCAUACCUUGUGCUCAGAAAGAUGCCUUGUCUCAUGCUUAGGAAAACUCUUCGACGAGCCUGUUGUGUCUUGUACAGCACUGAUUUUACUGUAGGCAUGCAAUAUUAGUCUUUUUUGUUUCCAUAACAAGUUAACUAAUAACUUCUAACAGAGAACAGAUUUGGGUAUGAAAUCCAGACACCAGCUGUGGCCUCCGCGGUUCCAUGUGCACCAACUAUGGAGCGCACACAAUUGGCACUUACCCCAUCCCACAAACGAAUAGCACCAUCUUUGGAUGCCGUAACAUACAUACCGCCUGUGGAUGAAUACCUCACCUUCAUAACCGAAGAGAUCAAAUUGAUUAUCUCCAUGAACUCAACCUAAUAUAUAAAUAUGGAUAACAUGUCAUACUGAGAAAAAUAGGACUUUGACCAUACCUGAUUUAUGGCUCCAUUAACACUGAUCUCUGGAACAUUUGCAGAUAGGUAACACUGAAAAGUAUUAACAUCAUACAAGUGCGCAAUUGGAUGAUCAGUUCCUGUGUUGUUUUUCCAUAUCAAUCUUGUGAGUGGCCAUAUGCCAUUACAAAUUAAGAUUAAUAUAAGAUAUAGUAUUAAUUCAGAACUUCCAUUACAACCUUCCAAGGACAAAAGGUUCAUGCAAUAACACAUCACUGACAUACUAAUCACUGGUGAAGCAGUAAGUAACAUAUUCAUAUAACCAUGAGGAAGAUAAAUGUUUUCACAAAAAGAUCCUGCUGGCAUUAUAAUCAUCUAGAAUUUAUGGUCAAUACAGCAAGACAUAAAAUUAAUAACAGUACUUCUAUUUUAACCUUCAAAAUAAACAAAGUUGACGCAAUAACACAUUACUUACAUACUAAUUGGAGGAACAGUCAGGAAUAUAUUUAUACAACCGCCAGGAAGACAGAUGAAACUACCAAAAGAAAUUUCCAGCUUUCUAAUCAUCUGGGAAAUUAUCAAUUCCUCUGUAAGGUAUUAGAGAAAAAGAUCCCACUGACUACCUAGAUACUUUUUUGGCUGUUAGUCAGCAUACCUAUAGGGUUUAGUGGAGAACGCAAAGGAAAUAGCUACCUGCAAGAAGGAAAUCCCCAGAAGGAUGAAAUGAUACAGAACGCACAUUGUGAGUAUCCUGUCUCAUUACAAACACAAAAAUUCAUUAAAACAAGUAGUCAUAAAAUCUACAGUUCAACACCAUAAAUCCAUGAUUAAAUCUACAUCAAGAUAACAAGAAAAACCUGGAUAACUCUGAAUGCUCUUUUUGCAGUAGCUUUCGAAAAAUCGAAGAACCUGAAAGUUGUUAAUAAGCACCAUAAGAAAAAAGUGAGCUCAAUAUCAAUUUCUUAAACACCAAAAUAAGACCAUUGGUCUUAUAAGACAUUUAAAAGUGGAUUAGAAACAAUUAGGUGUACCAUAAUUGGCAAAACAUUAUACAAUUUUGAAAAAUACACUAAAAUAGGAACGUAGUUAAAGAUUAGGCUGAACAUAAAUUAAUGAAGACACCUAUUUUUCACAGUAGAAUAAACCAUACUUUAUUGUGUGAUCCUUGCCCCCAGAUAUCAGAACAGUGUUUUGAGGAUGGAAAUCCAAAUCAUUUAUAGGCUGCAUUUGCAUCGGCAAAACAAAAGUCAACAAGAGAUAGAUCUUAAGACAUUCACAUCAGAAGGGAGUACAUUAGUGUUUUGAACAGGGUAUAAAAGAAUGGAAGAAUUACUAAGUGGUAGAUUGGUAAAAAGAAAAUUGAAAAAAGAACUUGGAAACUUGAGGCGAAUAAAGCACAACUAGUCAGUUUUCUAAACUAAAAAUGGAAAUGCAAGAAACUAAACUCCACAGAUCAGUUUAAUGUAGUAGAGACUUUUAGAGCAGUUGGCACUCAGCAAUAGCCAGAAAAUAAGGUGGGUUUACUUGUAUAUGGUCAUAAAAAGUCCGUAUGACUGGCCGCACAGGACCAUCCGUUGAAUCUGGCAGCAUCAUUUGCUUGAUUUUUGCGACCUGAAAGAGAAUAUAAGAACUUUGGAGUUAGACACAGACACCCAGAAGAUAAAAGGCCAGGAUAAGAUUAUAAAUAUCAAAACCUCAAAGAGCUUGAUUGAUGUGUCUGCACUUCCAGUCGCAAUAAAUCUUCCAUCAGGACUAAAUCUUGCACAUCUGGCAAUGUUCUAGAAAACGAGACCCAUCAGUCCAUAAUUAGAAAACUAACACGAAUUGUAGAAGCCACAUUUAUUUUCCCCUACAAUGGCAUACCUUGUGCUCAGAAAGAUGCCUUGUCUCAUGCUUAGGAAAACUCUUCGACGAGCCUGUUGUGUCUUGUACAGCACUGAUUUUACUGUAGGCAUGCAAUAUUAGUCUUUUUUGUUUCCAUAACAAGUUAACUAAUAACUUCUAACAGAGAACAGAUUUGGGUAUGAAAUCCAGACACCAGCUGUAGUCAUUUCACCGAAAUAUUAGUCCUUGAACACAAUAUUACAUAAUAAGGAAACAAUUAAAGCAAGUGUUUUUGCAGAAAUGCAUUGCCUGAAAUCAACAACAACAGCAGCACGGGGAGCCGGGAUUGAGCCGUAUGCUGCAGUAGCAGUAGCAGGUAUCAAUGUGCUGGUGUCAUACAAUGAAUUAGACGGAACCCCUCUUAAUAUCUCAUCUUUCUCCACUGCAAGACCCUGUUAUUGCCUUAGAACCAAUGUCCAAAAGUGAUCCAAUAGAAUUUUCUCCAUUAAUUUUUUUAAUUUUAAAAUAAAAACCAAUAACCUUGGCAACCAGUUCAGUGAGCCUGUUUGGGGGAGCUUCAGCAUUUAAAGGCGUCAUUGUGGCUGAAGCAACAGCAUUUGCAGCCUACAAAAAAUUAUCAAUUUUUUUUUUCAGUGUGUGUGUGUGUGUACACUAAAGAUUUCGAUAAAAGGAGACAAGGGGGUUGCCUGAGAGAGAUUGUAUUGUUUAUGGUUAUGUAAUUGGAUUUUAUAAGCAAUUAUUCAUUUACUACCUGUUUAUUCAAAUAUUUUAAAAAAUACACAAACACGUGUGCUGGUUGAAAUUAAUAUUUUAUUACACUAAUCUACUUUCAUCUUAUAUUAAUUAAUAAAUUUAAUAGAAUAUUA
rnacentral:lncRNA from 1 species